GGGUCCAUAUUUAAAUGGCAUAAUUUUCGGCUCCAGACCGAAAGUCGAGGGUUCGAUUCCCUCUGGGCCCA
rnacentral:tRNA from 1 species